GGGUUGUGAGGUUAAGCGACUAAGCGUACACGGUGGAUGCCCUGGCAGUCAGAGGCGAUGAAGGGCGUGCUAAUCUGCGAUAAGCGCCGGUAAGGUGAUAUGAACCGUUAUAACCGGCGAUACCCGAAUGGGGAAACCCAGUGUGAUUCGUCACACUAUCAUUAACUGAAUCCAUAGGUUAAUGAGGCGAACCGGGGGAACUGAAACAUCUAAGUACCCCGAGGAAAAGAAAUCAACCGAGAUUCCCCCAGUAGCGGCGAGCGAACGGGGAGGAGCCCAGAGCCUGAAUCAGCAUGUGUGUUAGUGGAAGCGUCUGGAAAGGCGCGCGAUACAGGGUGACAGCCCCGUACACAAAAGCGCAUGUGUUGUGAGCUCGAUGAGUAGGGCGGGACACGUGGUAUCCUGUCUGAAUAUGGGGGGACCAUCCUCCAAGGCUAAAUACUCCUGACUGACCGAUAGUGAACCAGUACCGUGAGGGAAAGGCGAAAAGAACCCCGGCGAGGGGAGUGAAAAAGAACCUGAAACCGUGUACGUACAAGCAGUGGGAGCACAGGUUUACCUGUGUGACUGCGUACCUUUUGUAUAAUGGGUCAGCGACUUAUAUUCUGUAGCAAGGUUAACCGUAUAGGGGAGCCG
rnacentral:rRNA from 1 species